UCUGCCUGGUGGAGCCCCCUCACGCCACAACAGACCUUGUAACUGAUGAAGAGUGCGAGGAGACUUUGUCUGCUGCCUUCACAGAGGGGGAACCAGAAAGGCCUGUAGAGGGCAUGGCUGGGCAGCAGCAGGAGGGUCCCUCAACUUCAACUGCACAGAUUGACACAGUGAGA